GUCCACGCCGUAAACGAUGUGUGCUCGUUGUCGCGAUCUUAGAUCGCGGUAACAAAGCGAAAGUGAUUAGCACACCGCCUGGGGAGUACGGUCGCAAGAUUAAAACUCAAAGGAAUUGACGGGGACCCGCACAAGCGGUGGAGCAUGUUGUUCAAUUCGAAGCUACGCGUAGAACCUUACCUACUCUUGACAUCCCUAGUAUGACUUUCAGAGAUGAUUGUCUUCAGUUCGGCUGGCUAGGUGACAGGUGCUGCAUGGCUGUCGU
rnacentral:rRNA from 1 species